rnacentral:lncRNA from 1 species
CAUGGCAGUAUCUGCCACCACUUGUUUUGGUCCAAGGGCAGAAAUCAGCAUCCUGGAAACCAAUCAGUACUUGCGCUCUGAACUGGAAAAGUGCAAACAGAACUUCCAAGACCUCACAGAGAAAUUCCUGACAUCCAAAGCUACUGCCUACUCCCUGACCAAUCACCUGCAGAAAUAUAGAUACAUGAUCCCUUAAUUCAGGCUCAGGCUGAAGAACUGACCCACUUACGACAGAAGACACAGGAAGGGAGAGGUGUCUGCUACCUUUUUACCCAGCAUGUGAAGAACACAGUCAAGUCUUUUGAGGGCCUUCUCAGGAACACUGGCAUUGCCUACUACCAGAGACAGAGAUUCUGUGAGCAAAUGGUACAAGGAAGCCAGCUGACAGAGAUCCUUGUCAGAAAACUUGUCACAGAAUCUUGCUCUCUUACCCAAGCUGGAGUGCAGUGACACGGUCUUGGCUGACUGCAAUCUGUGCCUCCUGGGCUCAAGCAAUCUUCCCACCUCAGCCUCCCAAGUAGCUGGGACUACAGAAUCACCCCCAAUUCUCACCAACAAACUGAGAAGAAAAAAAAAAGAAUUACCCCCAAGAACAUCUGAGGAAGCACAACAGGGACAGACUUGAAGGCACCUGGGCAGUCCUCUGGUUUUGGAGUAGAGAAAAUCACAACGGUAAGAAAAAUGAAGACAGGCAAAAGCCACUGGCUCCUAGCAUGCACCUCUAAACUCUACAGGCACAUCAUAGAUUCCAUCGUCCAGCUGUAUAAUGAAAACAGAGUUCUCAGAGAACACCGGAGACUCCCCCGACUUGCCUGAAUCAAGUUUCUAGAGGCUGAAGAGGAGGAAAUACAGGAUGUAUUGGUCUUGCUGUUCAGGGUGGUAGAGGAGGAAGAAAAUCCCAGUCGUCUUUGAAAUUCACAGAGAAUAUGAAAAGCAGGUUGUCCUGUACAGUAUCUGCAAUCAGUUACGAUACAGAAAUAACUUAAACAUGUCAAGAAAGAUGAAUGCAGAUACUGUGAGGAAGUGCUAAAGUACAGCCAAGAUCAUCUCAUGCUGUACCCUUACCAUCUAUCGGAUAUUAUGGUGAAGGGCUUGAGCAUAACACCAUUUUCAUAUUAUACUGGGAUUAUGGAGAAUAUUAUGAACAGUGAGAAAAGUUAUGACUCAUUGCCCAAUUUUACUGCUGCUGACUGUCUAAGGCUUCUCGGCAUAGGAAGAAACCAGUAUAUUGAUCUUAUGAAUCAGUGUAGAUCAUCAAAAAAAUUCUUCAGAAGGAAAACAGCCCAUGAUCUUCUACCAAUAAAGCCAGUGGAAAUUGCCAUAGAGGCGUAGUGGGUGGUGCAGGCUGGAUAUAUCACAUAAGAUGACAUCAAGAUACGCACUUUGCCUGAGAAAUGUGC